AAUCCUUUUGCAUCACCCGCUCACAGAAAUAAACAUUCUUUGAGGUUUUUCCUGAUGCAGUAACUGACCAUGCCACCACGGCUUUAUUUUGGCCAGAGACGCCUGUGGCAUUUCUGCAAGAGGACAAGCAUCUCGUUCAGACCCCAUUAAAAGAGAGCUCAGUUCUUACAGCAGUUUGACAAGUCUGAUAAAGAGAAAGAAAACCAAAUUACUAGGACUUGAAAUAUAAAGUAGAUGAACCAAUCUAGAGCCCUCAUGCUCUGAUACCUGCCGCAUGUGAAAUCUGAGCAAAGGGAUCUUGGUGGAAGACAGUCUCCUCUGGAGUGUGCACAAGCAGCGCAUGCUCCUUACGAGAUGCUGCAUGAAAGAAGGUGGAUUUUUUUCUGGACAAGGAAUGACUUGAGAGCAGCCCUGAGGAGAAGGAUUUGGGGGUGCUGGUUAAUGAAAGACUGAACAUGAGCUGGCUAUAUGCACUUGCAGCCCAGAAGGCCAACUGUGUGCUGGGUUACAUUAUGAAAAGAAUGAAAGAAAAGCAAGGAAGAUGAUUCUGCCCCUCUACUCUGCUCUUGUGAGACCCACCUGGAGUACUGCAUCCAAUUCUGGGGCCCUCAACACAAGACAGACAUGGAGCUGUUGGAGUGGGUCCAGAGGAGGGCCACAAAGAUGAUCAGAGGGCUGGGACACUUCCCCUACGAAGAGAGGCUGAGAAAGUUGGGACUCUUCAGCCUGCAGAAGAGAAGGUUUGGGAGACCUUACAGCGGCCCUUCCAGUAUCUGAAGGGGGCAUACAGGAAAGCUGGGGAGGGACUUCUUAUAAGGGCAAGUAGAGACAGGAUGGGGGGAAAUGUCUUUAAACUGGAAGAGGGUAGAUUUAGACUAGAUAUUAGGAAGAAGUUAUUUACGGUGAGGGUGGUGAGACACUGAAACAGGUUGACCAGCAAGGCUUUGGUUCCCCCCCUCCCUGGAAGCCUUUGAGGCCAGGCUGGAUGAGGCUUUGAGCAACCUGGUCUAGUGAAAGGUGUCCCUGCCUACAGCAGGGGCUUGGAGCUAGGUGAUCUUAAAGGUCUCUCCCAGUCCAAACCAUUCUAUGAUUCUUUGAUAGUCACUUCAGCAGUUGAAAAAGAAAUUUUUUGGUUUAAGUCCACCAUCUUUCCACCAGGCCUACUGCUAUCCAUGUCAGUAUUUUUUUCCCCACUUAUGAAUGAAUUUCUCCUUUUACAUGUAAAUAAGAGACUGACCUAUACAGAGUAGGUAAAUCAAGAAGCGUAUUAAGAUGUUCCACCUGUCCCAAAAUACUCCGGCAUGCUACACAUGAGCUGAUACUCACUUUCAACUUUAAAGUUGCUGAGACUGGAUAGUGUCCCCCAGAUAUUUUCUAAUAGGAUCCAACGUUUUGCAACAUGCCCAUCUAGAGACCUGAUCUAUCAGGAAAUGAGAUCUGAACACCUAUGUGGCUUUUGUUCAGCACAAGACGGAGCACAAGAGUCAGGAUAUUCUCACUGCCUAAAGCCAGAAAGGAAGCAAGUCGCCUUGUACAACUCCUGGCUGUAUUUUCCAAUUUUCAUUCUUCCCUUCCAUUCAGCUGCCCCAUCAGGUUUGCAUCAGAGCUGGCACGCAUCUGAACUCCCGCCUGGCCCAGCCUUUGUCAUUAUGCCCUUCAAUGCACAAAGUUUGGUGCGUUUUCCACUCUUCAGUAGGAGGUGCAAGGGCUGGAAAAACUGGCAGUAGAGCACAUAUGCUCCUUUUAUCCCAGCACUUUCCCUUGUGACUGCAUUUACUCUCUCACACGGACUCAGGAUGUUAACUAAACUGACAAGGACUAGAUAGCAGAGAGAGGAAGGAAGGAAGGAAAGCAUCUGCAUUUCCAAUCCAGUGACUGCAAAUAAAGUUCCUCAACUUUUAGAAGUCUCUCAAGCACAGCAUACACAGGGUUUGGAGAAGCCAGGGGCUUCUGAUGAAAGUGCUGUGCUGUUAUUUUCAGUGCCACAGCCAGGCUGGGAUUACGUUUUGGUCUUCUGAGAAAAGGAAGCUGGUUGUCACGUCUACUUCUGCUCUUUUUUAAAACUCUCAAAGAAACUUUGCAACAUAAAAUCACUGAGCACCUACAAAGAAAGCUUUACAAAGGGACACCACUUACUGCCUCAAACUCAGUUUCCAUCACCUCCUGCACAAUUCAUCCAUGCUACACAAAGUCCUAAACAGCACACAUCCUAUCUUUCCCAGUGCAAACAGAUACAUUUUUUUUUUAACUGUAAAGCCAGGCUUUUUGUUUAACACAGUGAAAAAUCACACAUAGCAGGAGCCUGCUGUUAGCAUAACUUACGGUAAUGAAUCAGUUAGCAAGGAGACUGGUGAAAAGAUUGAUUCAUGACAUGAAAAGGGUAACUGGAUCCUUUCUUUUGCCUCCUUAAUUUGCCAACAUACCUGCCCUUACCAGCACCUUUUGAAGCUGUUGCCACAGCACUACUCUUCCUUCUUGGGCUUCAGCAGUGGGUUGAACACAUCAUCUCUUUGCAGACUGCUGAAGAGCUGCAUCACAAGUGAGACUGGAGGUUGGUUGGAAGUCCCUUGAAAUCCAAGCACUUGUGCUCAGGAAGAAUUCACUCCACAUUUCUUCCUUCUUGCUGAAGGCUGGAUGUGCAAAUCCAUCUUAUUUUCACUUGACUCACACUGUGAAGACACAUACUGUGAUGUGGGGUGAUAUUAGCUGUAGAAAAGAAAAAGCUUUAAGACCACUGGGCCUCAAAAUGUGUCAAAACACACCAGGCAUGAGAAUCUGCCAUUUCUCUAUGGGAGGAGGCUGAUCUCCCCACAAAGGGCCAAGCAAGCUGUGCUCCAAGGACCUGCUCUCAUCCACUCAUCCAAACCCACACAGGGGAGCACAGCCAGGAAGAGCCACAGGACCUGCCAUCUCCUGUGCUGCCACCCAGCUCUCUUCCCUCUUGGGGGCUCAGAGCCUGAGCCAAGGUAUUGUUGCCUUUGAGGUUCAUUCUUUUAAAAAACUGACUGACGAUCAAUAUGCCAAAGCUGGGCUGUGCUUUGGGGCUCAGGGAUGGACAGCAAGAGUGCUGGAGCUGGCCUAAGGCAUGCACUGCCUGGGACAGUUGCUCCUUACCUGAGGCUGCACAUUUUGUAACUAAAGUUGGAGGAUGAGUUACCAGGGAGGACUUCAGGGAAGGUGACAGGAAGGAGGACAGCUGGUGUAGCUCCUCUAGAGUAAGCCAUGACUGAAAAGAGAACGGAGGCCCUGACCUGGAUACGGUCCUGGACAACCUGUUCUGGCUGGCCUGAGCAGGGAGUGGACCAAGUGGCCUCCAGAGGUCCCUUUACCUCCAGCAGCCCGUGACUUGGCUUGAUGUGUCUGGAGUGGCACUCCCAUGCCCACAGCCAUGCACUUGUAGCCUUGGGUAAUUUCUUUGCACCAGUGCCUCAGUACUUAAAGCAACACUGAUAACACUUCCAGAACUACACCCUAAAUAGUCUUUGGGACAGAAAUAAAAUUUUGAUUAAGUAGGAAAGCCUUUAUAGGUUAAUUAAAUAACAACUGCUAAACCAUAGCCAACCAGUCAUUAUCUGUGUUUUGAUAUGGACUUAUUACAUAACUGUUAAACUUGGUAUUUAGCAGAUAGCUUCCCUAUUUGAAGGACUAAACAUCUAUUUGAGAUAGUUCAUUUUUAAAUGUCACCAUUUCGGUUUACUAGACUUCUUGCUGUGCUUAACACAAACAGUGGGUAUUUAAAGUAAUAACAAAUCAGCUGUCAGCUGGGAGCACUCAGCAGAAGGUAGGGCCUGUCCUGUGACAGCCCUUGCCCUGCUGCUGGGAGAGUCCCAGGGAGGGUCAUGACGCCUCCAGGCCACCCCUCAACUAGCUCUGGACCUUAGGGGCUGAUGGGGAGAAGUAUCAGCACGCCUUCUGAAAAGUGGCUUCUCAGCUCCAGAAGCACCAGCCUGGUUCUCCCAAAUAGUCUUUUACCGCUUCCUGGCAGCAUUCUAUGAAGGGUGACAUGGAGUAGGAUCCCCUGACCAACCGGUGCCAGGCUGUGGCAGGUGCAGGGCCACUACCUCGCUGCUGCACCCAGAGCUCCUGUGGGCCAUGAACUCCAGCUGCCAUGGGAUGAAAUACUUGCAUGCACCGAACCAAAGACCAUCCCCAACUGCUUUUCAAGCAGGCAUUUUUCUUCAGAGUCUACAUGGAUGGAGAUAGCUUUGCCACCACUCAGUUUCUGCUGUCAUAAUUCUCCUGCUAACAGAUAAGAAAUGGUGAAAUGACAUCCUGCCCAAAGAGUCUGAAUGUCUGUACCCACCUGGGGCACGGUCCUGGUACCAAGGCACUACACCCAUAGAGCCUUAUGGUCACAUUAUUUCUUCCUACAUUCAAUUUUUUUGUAAAAGUGCUGUUAUAUUUUUCAGAAGGCUCUUGCAGCUGUUAUCACAUUGGCAAGCAAUGGCUGGGGCCUUCAGCCAUCUCUGGCAACAAAGAGGUUAAGCAUCAGCAAGCCUAGAAGGCUGGCUUUUGAGGGGUGGGUUUAGGAAGCAAAGUUAACAAUAUAAGAAGAGGAAGUGCUGGCCAUCCGUUUGUUUGUUUAUUGUUUCAGCAGUUUGUGCUGUGUGUCUCGUGUGCUAUCUCCAUCCCUCAGUCUCCCAGCCAGUUCAUUAUGCACGGGAAGAGGUGCUUCCUGCCAGCGACCUCCUGGGUCCCCUCCCAUUGUUCGCAGGGCUGAUGUAAAGUGCUGGGGGCGGCAGAAAGGGCUGCAAGCCUGCAAGAAAUACUCCAGAGACCUUCUUCAGUUAAUAAAACAGAUGGCCUUAUUGGCGUAGGCAAAUUUCAACGCUAGCAUUGCAUUUAAUAGGGUUCAUCCAAAGAAAAUCCCAAGAAAAAUAAAGUGAGGAGUUUAGGUUGUCAGAGCCAGAGGGAUAAAUACAGGAGAGACAAGAGGAUGAACCAUACCUCUGGCAUACCCAGCAGCUCUGCCGUGCCUCUGCAGCCUUCAGGGACUAAGGUUGCUCAACGCCUCCUUCUCUGCUAGGACCUAUUAGUCAGAAGCAGAGGUGCUCCCUGCCUCCAACAGCUAAGCUCUGAUGGCCUAAAUGUCACCCCAGUCUCUGUGCAUAGCAAGGUCUUUAAGUUCCCUAAAUUAGGGCACCUGGGUCCUCCUUGAAGGCCCAGCGCUCUCCCUUCACCUGGUAGAGGAGCAAACAAGCAAGAGACUCUAAGCCCCUAAGACCAUCAAAACUUUGUUUUCUGAAGCCCCAGUGCCCUAUGCACCCCCAAAGUUCCUUCCCUAUGUUUCUGUAGUGAUCAGGCUAUAACACCUUGCAGAAGGAGUGUGCUUCUCAGAUGCUAGGAGAACACUUUUUUUUUUUUUUUUUUUUUUUUGAAAGAACACUUUGUACAAUCCCUGAGCUGGGCCUGAAGCAACACUAACAAUAACAAACAGCAAUGAGCUGGAGCUGCAGAGCUGGGAUCCAGAUGUGUACCUGAACUUCCCUAAAAUUUAAGGGUCUUUAAGUCUGGCAUGGGUUAAUCUCCAUAAAAAACGUGAAGAUGAAGGGGAAGAAAAGGGAAAAAUGCAAGCAGAAUACAGUUAACAAGACACAUGGGAGGAUGUCGCCUUCUCUGUGUGCUUGGUAACUGCAGCCUCUUGAAGGUGUGUCCCCAGAUUCUGCACAGCCAGGAGCUGUCAUUAGCCAGAAAUAAAAGGAUUUCUGCUCACUGACACUGGUGAAAGUAAAGCAAUCUGUUUUGAAAAACAGCUUUAAAGCACACAUUGCCACUUUUGAUUAUAAAAAUCCUAGAGGAAUGUGGGCUUUGCUUUAAAUCAUGUACUUUUUUUUUUUUUCACUUUCUCACUGUAUGUUUACUUUUACGCAGGUACUUUUCUAGUACACGCCUUUAGAAACGUCCAUGAAAACUGUGCCCCAUUUUUCCACUUUCAUUGCUUCUAAAGGUCAAAAGUCUCUCAUCUGAGGCUUUGGAGGAAAAGAAACCUCUCAGUUCCUGGGCUUUCUCUCUGGAGGGAGUCGUCAUUUCCAGGGAAGGGCCGGUGCCUCCCCUCUGGGACAGGAAGCGGCCACAGGAGCACUGUCAUCACUGAAAGUUUUCUUUCAUGCGGAAAUAUUAUUUACACAUGCCACGUCCAAAAGACAACAGUGGCAAGGAGGACUGGCAAGCAACUCUGCUUUAAA
rnacentral:lncRNA from 1 species